AUAAUCAAUAAAUGUUUAAAUCCAAUGUGUCAUUCAUACACUUAACAAAAGAAGUCGAAAGUAUUAAAGGCCACCCGAAAAGUAUUCACGUGGAUACAYUCUUGAUUUCCUAGAAAAUCAGUAGCUGCAAGAUAUCAGCAGCUUACUGUCAGUGACUGGCAAGAUUUACAAACGCAUCAGAGAGGCAAAACAAGAUCCGCUUUAUUGGGUGAUCUUCAUAUAUACAUAUACUGAGAUGGAAAGUCACAAGGGYCUACUGCUAUUAUUCCUCGUUGUCACUAUGAUAGAAAAGACAAAUGCAAGUCAGUUCCAAGAUUGUUCUGAUUAUUGUCGUACUUCGUAUUUCCAUUGUUUUUUAGUAGAAUGCAGUGGCCCUGGCAAUGAAUUCAAAUGUAAACGGUGCGCAUCUGUAAAAGUMUCAUGCAUUAGAGGGUGCCAAAGGAAUGAAGGACUUUCAAAGAAAACAAAUCAAAUGUAAUAUGAUGAAAUGUAAAGCACAGAAAAUUAUCUAAACUCUAAGAAAUAAAAAAAGAUUUUUGCUCAAU